CCCGACUGAUAUCGGAUUGAGAUUUAACCAUGCGAGUCGAACGUCCCCCUGUUGCGGGGGGCGUGGCGUACGGCUCAGUAACACGUAGUCAACCUGCCCUGGAGACACGGACAACCCCGGGAAACUGGGACUAAUCCGUGAUAGGUCACCUCAUCUGGAAGGAGAGAUGGCCCAAAGGGGCGCGCGGGCUUCUUCUGCGCGUUCGCUCCAGGAUGGGACUGCGACCGAUCAGGCUGUUGGCGGGGUAAAGGCCCACCAAACCUGUAACCGGUACGGGCCUUGAGAGAGGUGGCCCGGAGAUGGACACUGAGAAAAGGGUCCAGGUCCUACGGGGCGCAGCAGGCGCGAAACCUUCGCAAUGCGCGAAAGCGUGACGAGGUUAAUCCGAGUGAUUUCCGCUGAGGAGACCUUUUGUCGGCUGUAAAUAGGCCGGCGAAUAAGGGGAGGGCAAGCCUGGUGU
rnacentral:rRNA from 1 species